GGUUAAGUUAAUAAGGGCGCACGGUGGAUGCCUUGGCACUAGGAGCCGAAGAAGGACGUGACAAACGACGAUAUGCCUUGGGUAGCUGUAAGUAAGCGAUGAUCCAGGGAUUUCCGAAUGGGGGAACCCAACAGGUACUACCUGUUACCCGCAUCUGUUAAGGAUGUGAGGAGGAAGACGCAGUGAACUGAAACAUCUAAGUAGCUGCAGGAAGAGAAAGCAAAAGCGAUUGCCUUAGUAGCGGCGAGCGAAACGGCAGGAGGGCAAACCGAAGAGUUUACUCUUCGGGGUUGUAGGACUGCAAUGUGGAAUUAAAGAUUAUAGAAGAAUGAUUUGGGAAGAUCAGCCAAAGAGAGUAAUAGCCUCGUAUUUAAAAUAGUCUUUGUACCUAGCAGUAUCCUGAGUACGGCGGGACACGCGAAAUCCCGUCGGAAUCUGGGAGGACCAUCUCCCAACCCUAAAUACUCCCUAGUGACCGAUAGUGAACCAGUACCGUGAGGGAAAGGUGAAAAGCACCCCGGGAGGGGAGUGAAAUAGAACCUGAAACCGUGUGCCUACAACAAGUUC
rnacentral:rRNA from 1 species